rnacentral:lncRNA from 1 species
CUUAACCUUUGUUCUCUGAUGUUCUUAUGACAAGUAAUAAGACGUCUUAUCAUCCCAAUGAUGCUGAUCAGACAGAACAUAACAAAGAAACCUGAGAAAGGAAGAGAAGUAAGUAACCAACCUUUGCAACGGUUUAGGAGUUGUUGUUCCUAGAAAAUCAGUCAUAAGUUCUAAUUGAUGCACCAUAUUCUUUCCAGGAAAUAAUGGUUUUCCAGUCAGCAUUUCUGCAAAUAUGCAUCCGAUGCUCCAAAUAUCAAUAGCAGGAGUGUACUACAAAUGGAGAACUCUUAGAGAUGGUACAUGUCACAGCAACAACUACUACUACGGCUACGCCUCAGUCCCAAACAAGUUGGGGUUGGCUAUAUGAAUUUUAGAGAUGGUACAUGUCACCACAACAACUGCUACUACUGCUACACCUCAGUCCCAAACAAUUUGGGGUCGGCUAUAUGAAUCCUCACUUACCAUGUUUCUCCAUUUAAAUUCAUCUGAAGACAACAUUAUACAAAUGAAAAUAAAAAGUACUAGAAGUUCUCCAUAUCUUCUACUGGCAUAGAGAUAGUACAUGUCACGGCACAAGCAAACCAGUCUAUAUACAUAUAUGUCAAAAACAGAAAUAAACUCUCAACAAAUAUUAUAUGAUAUAGUUGCUUCAGACUGAAAUCACAUGAUCACUGUUUACAGUUUUGACGUCACAGUACAGAAAGAACAAACCCUCUUUGUUUUUGAAUUAGUGAAAACAAUAAUAUCUGCUGAAGAACAUUUGUUUGUUUGCAAAGAGUUGACUAUUUGAAAAUCAUCUUUAAUAGUGUAUAUGUUUGUUUUUCCCGUGUCAACAUCCCUCAAUACAUGAGAUAGUUAAGGUACAAAAUAUGUGGUUUUGCUUCAUCUCAUACAAAUCUUUUAUUCUAACAGGAACUUAUAUAUUGGUAUGAACAGAUUGUAAACUAACUAUAAUAAACUGACAACAAGAAAACAUAUACAGCAGCAGUGCUAAGGAUUGUGUACAGAAUAUAUGUACAUGAGUUCAUACAACAGCAGUGCUAAGGAUUGUGUACAGAAUAUAUGUACAUGAGUUAACAGAAUAUGUGUGCAUUUGUUAAUUAAAUAUGCGUACAAGAAAAGGAUUAAGUUGACUUACAUAUAAACCGAUAAGUUGCACCACACUCAUUGAAGUUGAGCAGAUAUGUGCUAGCACUUAUUGUAGAACCAGCCAAGGAAUGAUUUCAACAUGUUCAGAACCAGCCAAGGAAUGAUUUCAAUAUGUUCUUUGACUCGUAACUAAAAUGAUAGUUCAAGUUUAUAAGCUUUAGCUGGGGGGAUUAAAUCGGCGAGCUACUUUAAACUAACAUGCAAGAAAACAUAUACUGCGCUAUGCUAGAACCUAAUAUGCCGCACCUUCUCCAUUAUGGUUUAAUUCACAAUAUUUGAUUUACAAAAAACCUGAUUGAAGUAACAGACAUUACAGUUAUCUAAGCCAUAUAUUUUUUUGAUAACCGAACUGAACCAUACAUGUAAACACAUGAAACCAAAAGGUUGUAUUUCCAGGAUGUGUUAUUCUUUUAACUGACUCCGAAACACAAGUAACAAAAAGAAGAGCUUAUUAACCAAAAAGUAUAUACCUUGUAGUCCACACGCGAGGCAAAGAAAAUUGCGCUCGGAGGAAAGGCCAUAUGCUCUACCCUUAUACACGCCUCCAACCACGUUCAACCACAAUGGGAGAGUUUCUUCCUCCGAUGGCAUGAUUGGCUGGCCUUGCUC